AUGAAGCCCGUUGAGCUGACCAUGCUCACUGGCCUCUGGGACUCGCCUUGCAGUGGUUGCAAACAAGAAGCCUCCUCACUAUUGUCAGCAGCCUGUGGUUUGUAUGGACUGAUCAAAGAGACCUUAAAGACAAUC